UCACAGGCUCUUAUUUUUCAUG
rnacentral:miRNA from 1 species